CUGGGUGGGUGAGAUGUUGGGGCUAGUGGCAGGGGCCGCUGAUGGACACUCCAUGCUUCCACAGGAUCAGGUCCAGAGGAGGGUUGCUGCAAAGAGCAUCCUGGAGCCACUGAAAAGUCCCAGAAACCAUGACUUAACCAGUAGUAAUGAGCCCUCCGUCUCCUGGAUUGUGGUCCUGAAUAUUACUGAAAAGAAGCCAGGCUCUUUGGAGAAAUGGAUGAUACCAGAUGUGGGGCAGAAAAUGUACAAGAAAAGAUGAAUCUAGGCAAUAUUAUCGGUGACUGCUAAUAGCACAAGAGGGACAACCAGACAUUGUGUGCUCCGGAUGGAAGUAUACAGCACCACCGAUGAAGUGUUCUUGCAAAGAGUUCCAGCCUGAAUCUGAUCAAGCUUCUAGAUCUAAAUACCAGUUGUUGGGGACAAGAUGAUAUUGGGGGAAGUGUGAAGUGCUUUGAAGGCUGCCAACAAAAUGCCAAGUCAGCCCACUGACAGAAAAAGGAAGAGAAACCUUUGGAAAAUACAUUAUUGUUUCGCAUUGGCUUACUUUCCAUCUGAAUCUGAGCACCUGACCUGAGGAAGGAGAGUGAACAUAGAAUGGCGAAUUUGUUCUAGGACAGUGAGUGAUCUGAGAGUGUUGGGAAGAGGGAGCCAUGCCGUGUAGACCAGAAAGCAGGGCAAUGGAGGAAUGGAUCCAAAUUUCUUGGCUUCUUGUUGCUGAUACAAUAGAGAAUAAAGAAGUGUAUGUAUUAGAUACAGAAAAAAACAUUUGAGAAAAUACAACAACAUGUGAUGAAAACUCUCAGGAAACCAGGGAUAAAUGGAAUUUCCUCAACCUGACAGAGCAUUUAUGAAAGACCUGCAGUUAACAUCAUAUUUACUGGUGAAAGAUUGAAUAAUUUCCCUCUAGGUUGGGAAAUAAGGGAAAGCAUGACCACUUUCACCACAUCUAUUUGACAUUGUACUGGAAGUCAUAGCCAGUGCAAUAAGACAGGAAAAAGAAGUAACAGAUAACAUAUAUUGGGAAAGAAAUAAACUGUAUU